AACACAUGCAAGUCGAACGGUAACAGGAAGAAGCUUGCUUCUUUGCUGACUACCGCCGGACGGGUGAGUAAUGUCUGGGAAACUGCCUGAUGGAGGGGGAUAACUACUGGAAACGGUAGCUAAUACCGCAUAACGUCGCAAGACCAAAGAGGGGGACCUUCGGGCCUCUUGCCAUCGGAUGUGCCCAGAUGGGAUUAGCUAGUAAGUGGGGUAACGGCUCACCUAUGCGACGAUCCCUAGCUGGUCUGAUAGGAUGACCAGCCACACUGGAACUGAGACACGGUCCAGACUCCUACGGGAGGCAGCAGUGGG
rnacentral:rRNA from 1 species